rnacentral:rRNA from 1 species
UGAAACGGCCAUAUUACGUUGAAUGCACCGGUUCUCGUCCGGCCACCGAAGUUAAGCAACGUCGAGCCUAGUGAGUACUUAGAUGGGUGACCGCCUUCGUAUUAGCCCACCACAUAAC